GUGUGCUUGGCAGAGCAUGUGAGCAAUUUUAACACACAGCUGUACACUACAACCCUGGAGAUCAAAGUAUGGAUAAUGGGACAUUUCAGAUCAACAGUUGCCUCUGGUGUGAUGAUGGCAAGACACCAAAUGCUUUGAAUUGCUGUGAAGUCAAGUGCUCAGAACUUCUGGAAGAUGACCUCAUUAAAUCACUGAACUGUGUGAAGGUAGAUCAGUAAUUCUUAAAUUAUCUCUCCUGGAUCUAUUUUCUAGGUGGGCCUGGGAAUACAAUCACCGAGGGAAAAACCAUUCCAAAUAUCUCAAAGGUUGCCAUCUGUAACCAGACACCUUUAGGUCCUUCAAUUCAUCAUGAUUCCUCUGCCUAUAAAGAAGCUUUUUCAAAUCAAAUAUUGUAUUUUUUUCUCUUAAAAAUCAUUUCCUCAAAUAAAGUCGGCACAAAAUGAA